AAACUCAAAGGAAUUGACGGGGACCCGCACAAGCAGCGGAGCGUGUGGUUUAAUUCGUUGCUACACGAAGAACCUUACCUGGGUUUGACAUAUAGGUUGUAGGGAACUGAAAGGGACCGACCCUUCGGGGAGCCUAUACAGGUGUUGCAUGGCUGUCGUCAGCUCGUGUCGUGAGAUGUUCGGUUAAGUCCGCUAACGAGCGCAACCCUCGUCGUAUGUUAUAUGUGUCAUACGAGACUGCCGGUAAAAGCCGGAGGAAGGUGAGGAUGAUGUCAAGUCAGCAUGACCUUUAUAUCCAGGGCUACACACACGCUACAAUGGUCUGUACAAUGGGUAGCCAAGCCGCGAGGCGGAGCCAAUCCUGAAAGCAGGCCUCAGUUCAGAUUGCAGUCUGCAACUCGACUGCAUGAAGCCGGAGUUGCUAGUAACCGCAGGUCAGCAAUACUGCGGUGAAUACGUUCCCGGGUCUU
rnacentral:rRNA from 1 species